CAAGUGUUAGUGGAGUUGAGGUUUCAUUGUCAAGUAAAAGUUACUUCCAUGUUUGGAUCACCAUUGUAGCAUGCAGAGAUAUUUAGUGGAUAAAGUAAACGAACUUAUACACUAGAUUAAUGUCCAACAACUUUAACUAAACUUAAUAAUCAAACUAAUUUGUGGCAACAAGAUAGAAAAUGUGGAGAGGACGACCCAAAUUCCAAACAACUCACAGAAUGAAG
rnacentral:misc_RNA from 1 species